UACGGGAGGCAGCAGUGAGGAAUAUUGGUCAAUGGGCGCGAGCCUGAUGCAGCGACGCCGCGUGAGCGAAGAAGUAUUUCGGUAUGUAAAGCUCUAUCAGCAGGGAAGAUAAUGACGGUACCUGACUAAGAAGCACCGGCUAAAUACGUGCCAGCAGCCGCGGUAAU
rnacentral:rRNA from 1 species